rfam:Nanoarchaeum equitans Kin4-M, complete genome.
GCGCCCGUAGUCUAGUGGUAGGAUGCGGGCCUUCCAAGCCCGUGACCCGGGUUCGAAUCCCGGCGGGCGCA